GUGAGCUCGCUCUGGAUUCAUGAAGAAGAAGACGACGAAGAAGAAGCAGAGCUCUUGGCUAUGGCGAUCGCCUCUCUGCCACUGGUUCAUCUUUGCGUUCCAAUGGUUCAUGCCCCGCUUUCGUUACGCGACUCCAACCUUGCCGUCGUCAUCGUUGCAUUAAUUAUUAUUUUUGAUUUUUUUUCACACAGCUGCGCUGCCAUACUUCACAAUUUCUUUGUCUGCUAACACUGGUCUCGCUCCUUGCUCUACUAAUUUUAUCUCAGAAACACGAGGCUGGUCCUUGGUGCACGUUAGUUUGGUACUUAGGAUUGUUGUUCGUUGUGGAGGUGGCCUGAAAUGAGUUCAGAAUGGAGGUUUGAUUGUUUGAAAUGGACAUCAUCGGCAUUGUUGUCUUCAAGGUUGUGGAGAGGGGAGACUUAGCUAUCAUUUCACAAGUGGUAAGAAAGAGGAUAAAGAGCUUGAAGUUGCGGACGAGAAUCUGCUAUUCUGUAUGUAUCAGUUUUGUGAGGGAGAAAUCGAGGAUGUCACGAAUUCUCUGCGAAUGAGAAAGCAACAGAGAGGGAGGGUGGGCUUGGUUUUAGCUUUGUUGUUACAGAGGAAACUCAAGUUGAAUAUAUAUGAAGACUAAAACAUCUCAUCAGUUAAUCAUCUUCAAAGUUGCGGCGAGGACAACAGAUGCUCAAUGUCUGCUCAGCAUUGAUCUCGAUCACCUGAUUUUGGUUGCGGUUCACAAGUUUUUGAAAAUGAGAAGGAUUUUCAUGACCAGCAAGAUUACCAGGGGAGACUUCAUUUACCUGUUUUAAGCAUGUUCAAGUUUUCGCAUGCAUUUCCAGUGAUUCUUACUGAAUCGGAGGUUGUUUUCGCUGAAGUUUCUCCACUUUGAGACGGCAGGUAAGAUGCAGCUGCUAUAACAAUCCAACCAUGCCUAUUAUGGACAAGAGCGACGGUCCGCAUCAGCAGGUUGGGGAUCUAGAGAAAAUGUAGCUCUCAUCAAUGAUCACCAAUAUACUUAAAGCUACUGGAGUCACAUCAAAGAUUUGAACUUUAUGCACUCUGAAUCCUUCUCUUCAGAACCGGCAAUCUUCAUUUAGAAAAGCACUACAGUCCGCGUGAUUAUGAAACAUAACCGAAGAGUAUGUCGUUGCAAAUCCGUCUCCUGGAGAUGCUCCUCGCAAAGAGCUUCAGGAAGUUCGCUCAAUCUUCCACUAAGCUGGAUAAUUAUUCUGCGAUAUUUCUUAAGACCGUCUGUUUUACCCUGUAUCGCCCUCUAAACCUGGUUUUGAAUCGAGGUUGGUACAAUUGGCUUUCAGUUUUAAACAGUCAGGGUUGAGAUGACGGCUAAAGCUCAAGUGCGCUGGGGCCUUCUUUGAGGUACCGAAGUCUGUGCAGCCGUAUGUAUGGUCAAAAUAUAGCCAGCCCCUUGCGAGCCCCCAGUUUGCGAAGCUAGUCCAAUGAUGGGUGAGGAUGUUAUAUCUUCCUCUGCAUCUCUAUAUCAGGAUUUUGGAAGACGUCCUUUCUCUCUGAGAUGCAAUUAAUACUAUCCCCUGGACUGCGUAGAUGCUGUCACCUGUGAGAGUACUGCAGUUCUUGAAAGUCACAUUAUUCUGUUUCAGAUCCUUUCCAACUUGCUCCAGCAAAGGAGUUCAUCAUAACUACGAUUUGAAACUCGAAAGAAGCUUGCAUUCAUCACUGAGCUUUCUGACCAUGGAUGUGAUGUAGCAGACAUUCCUGACUACUGGGACCAGAACCUUACAAAAUCUCAUGCCCAAGAAACUGUCUGACAACAUGGCGGUGACGGAACGGCCCUGUUAGAAGCUUUCAGCAGCUCGGCAUUUUUACAGUUGUUACGAUUGCAGUCCGUUGCUUCUGGCCUCCGCUCCUGACUCUGAAGCAGAAGGGUGAUCGUUCGUAAUAAGUGGCUCGAUCUAAGUUUGCAAUGACCAGACUUGAAAAAACCUUCUCAUUUUGAUUUCACGCCAUUGUUGUGUUCGAACGACUUCUUGAUCACUGUAGUAAGGAAACCUUCCAUUUUUUUCAAUUCUCUUGAAAAUGUAUCAUUAAGUAACACACUUUUUGGUUAGUUGGCCCUUUGCAGUCACAUAUCUGCAGUAUGACCAUCCAAAAUUUUCCUUA